rnacentral:lncRNA from 1 species
GGCGCUGACAGACGUGCCAAGGGAGGGGGCGGCUGGCGGUGAGGACCUGCCCACAGUGAGUCCUUAAAGCCCGGGCCCCAGGGGAGGAGGCGGAGCCGCAGGACAGCGGGUCGCACCAGGGGGCUCUGGUCACCCCUCCUCUACCUGCUUGCUCCCCACCCUGUCGCCUGGGGAGGCACGAGCCUGAGGUCCGGGCAUUUCAAGGCUCCCUGAGUCCUUCAGGAGGAUGGUGCCCAGGCCACCCCCCGGGAAAGCAGUUCCCAGGGUCACACAGCCAGCUCAUGCUCAACUUGGAGCUAACGAGGAGAGAGGUGGGGAAAGCAAUUGUUCUCGAGCACCUACUGUGUGCCUGACACUGAGCGGAGCCCUGGGAAUACACUGUGAAUGGAACAGCCCCAAACCCCUGCCUGGAGCCGACAAGGAAACAGGCCAGACAAACCCAAGAAGUGGAUCUGAUCAUCCUUGUUUUACCAAGGAGGAAACUGAGGCACAGAGAAGGGCAGGGACUUGCCCAGGGUCACACAGCAGAAGCAGAUCCCAGUCUCUUCCAUCUGGCUCCCAAGCCCGUGCUCCUGUGCUUCUGAGAGUGCCGACUUCAGAGGGAGCCGGGAAGGUUAAUUACCGCCGGCAGCUCCGGAACCUGAUGAAAGCGGGGAGGUGGGCGUAGUGACCGCGCGGGUCAUGACUCCCAGCGAGCGGAGGCUGGAGAGGGGUCGCACCCGCUUCUGAUGCAACCCCAGGCCCGCUGCUUUCCGGAGGUGGGGGCCCAACAUGCCGUAAACAUCUGCGUUUGACCGCCGUCCCGGCCCCCAGACCCCCGCACCCGGGGCCCUGCGAGCCGCCCGGG